UACGUAGGGGGCAAGCGUUGUCCGGAAUCAUUGGGCGUAAAGAGCGUGUAGGCGGCCCGAUAAGUCCGCUGUGAAAGUCCAGGGCUCAACCCUGGAAUGCCAGUGGAAACUGUCGGGCUAGAGUCCGGAAGAGGCGAGUGGAAUUCCUGGUGUAGCGGUGAAAUGCGCAGAUAUCAGGAGGAACACCAAUGGCGAAGGCAGCUCGCUGGGACGGUACUGACGCUGAGGCGCGAAAGCGUGGGUAGCAAACAGG
rnacentral:rRNA from 1 species